rnacentral:lncRNA from 1 species
AUGGCGAACUCAUAUUGUGGAGUUCCCUUGGAGGGGCGUGGAUAGCAUUCCCAUGAAUUUGGCAUUGAUAGCACCUCUUGACAUGAUCAUCAUAGUCAGCUUUGAGCGUAAGCCAAUAAUGCCCUAUUCUGAGGAUUUUCUUAACAAGUAGGGGUCCGCUCAUGUGUGGGCCACAUACUCCACCAUGGAUCUCAUUCAUGAGCCUCUGAGCUUGGUCUUUGUCCAGAUAUCUGAGGAGACCUAAUCCUGCAUCUCUUUUGUAGAGUGCAUCUCCGCUCAGGUAGAAUUUCAUAGCAAGUCAAUGGAUCCGCCUUCUUUCAGUCAGGCUCUCCUCAGCGUGUGUAGAUCCAUCUCACAGAUAUUCCUUGAUGUGCUGAUACCAAGGGUUGUGGAUGAGAGGUAGAUCAUCCGAUACUUCUCCAACAUAGUUCCCAUAAGAUGGGGCCUUUUGCAGAGUAAAUGUGAUGUUUGGCAUGUUUUCUUUGUCAGGUAUGUGAAUUAAGGAGGCCAACGUUGCUAGUGCAUCCGCAAAAUCAUUCUUAUUACGAGGAAUGUGUAGAAAGGAGAUUUCUUCAAACUCCAAAGCCAUCUGUAGAACUUGUCGAUGCUAAAGCAGCAAAUGUAAU